GACGAACCGUGCGAACGUUUUUCGGAAUCACUGGGCUUAAAGGGUGCGUAGGCGGGUUGUCCAGUCUGGGGUGAAAUCCCACGGCUCAACCGUGGAAUUGCCUCAGAUACUGACGACCUCGAGGGCGGUGGGGGCGAGCGGAACUGUGGGUGGAGCGGUGAAAUGCGUUGAUAUCCACAGGAACGCCGGUGGCGAAGGCGGCUCGCUGGACCUCUUCUGACGCUGAGGCACGAAAGCUAGGGGAGCAAACGGG
rnacentral:rRNA from 1 species